GACGAGGGGUCCAAGCGUUGUUCGGAAUCAUUGGGCGUAAAGCGGGUGUAGGUGGCUUUGUAAGUUAGAGGUGAAAUCCCGAGGCUCAACCUCGGAACUGCCUUUGAUACUGCAAAUCUCGAGUCCGGAAGAGGUGAGUGGAAUUCCUAGUGUAGAGGUGAAAUUCGUAGAUAUUAGGAAGAACACCAGUGGCGAAGGCGGCUCACUGGUCCGGUACUGACGCUGAGGUGCGAAAGCGUGGGGAGCAAACAGG
rnacentral:rRNA from 1 species